CCGAGCCUCUUCCCGAUUCUCUCUUCCUCUCCGACCUCUUCACCUUCUUCCGGCCAUAACUCCUCCAUCCGGCGACGGAUUUUGACGUGUAAGAUGUCGUUGGAAAGCUCUCUUCCUUCUCUUCAUUUCUGGGUUCGUUUCGUAGCUUAAUAUGAACUGUGGAAGGUGCAGCAACGAGAAGAAGAGGACGGUCACUGUAGCAGUUUUGAGUCAACGCCGAUAUUUUCCGAUUCCGGCAGUCUCCGGCCACCAAAUUGGCGUCGAAGGGUUCUUGGAAUUUCUGGAAAAUUUUCACCGGCCAAAUUGGAGCUCUUCCAGGGCAAUGCCGCGAGCUACGGUUAAAUGAAGGAAUUCGUUUGCGUGGUCGCCCAAUAGUACUUUUGCAGGCGAAAUUAGUUGAGGUCGGGCGUACAUGGAGUCGAGGCAUAGCCAACAGCAAUGCUUCCGCGUACUCAUUCUAUUUCUGUUUUCUUUGUUACCUAGUGGAUUAGUAUUGCUCUGAUAACCUAUGGGAUUAAUAUUGUUUUUGGGUUGAGACUGAUAUUUGUGAAAUUGGAGUUGUGAUUUGGGGAGCAGAUGGCUCCAGAAGAUUAAGGAUGGAUGAUUUAGAAGUGUAAAUGUUUUCCUACAGGUUUUGGGUAGCCUACUUUUAGGGGAAGUUCCGCCAAAUUUUUGGUAGAAUCUCUUCUAAAGUGGGCCCCGCAGGGCCACUUCGAUUUCAGGGUGAAAUCUG